rnacentral:lncRNA from 1 species
CACCAUGUAAGGUAUGCCUUUGCUCCUCCUUUGCCUUCAGCCAUGAUUGUGAGGCCUCCCCAGCCAUAUGAAACUGUGAGAAGCAGCUGUGGAGAGCUGAUGCACAAGCCCACAGUAGGGUGAGCAAGCCUGGAGUAGGGUGACAACAUGGAGGAGGGAGCGCCUGGCUCUGCCAGGAAUCGGCCAAGGCUCAACAGUGUUUAUGCCUUAAGACAAGAA